UUUCAUGCUGUGAUAUAGUAUUGGAAUAAAAAGCUUGCCGUAAUUUAAUCCCCCAAUUCUCCUGCGUAAGAGUCACAUAGUCUGGGGCACUACACUUCUGAUCCAAGGCACUGCUGAUAAAGGGGAACCUCAUUCGAGGAGAGUGUCGGUGGGAGAUAGAUGCUUCAUCUUGAGGCCUGUAGCAUGAGCCCAGAGAGGGAUGGAGGGAAUCUCAAGGCUGAAGGGAUGCCGUCGGGGAGGCGGGAUGCCGUCGGGGAGGGUGGAUGCCGUCGGGGAGGCGGGAUGCUGUCAGGGAGGCGGGAUGCCAUUGGGGAGGUGGGAUGCUGUCGGGGAGGUGGGAUGCUGUUGGGGAAGCGAGAUGAUUUUGCAGAGGCAGGAUGCUGUUGGGGAGGCGGGAUGCUUUUCUCACUCUGGCUGUCCCUGUACACCAGGGCACUGUCUCUGCCCAGUGCUC
rnacentral:lncRNA from 1 species